rnacentral:rRNA from 1 species
GACGAACGCUGGCGGCGUGCUUAACACAUGCAAGUCGAACGGAAAGGCCUGCUUUCCCUUGUGGAUUGCGGGUACUCGAGUGGCGAACGGGUGAGUAACACGUGAGUGAUCUGCCCCCAACUUGGGUAUAAGCCUGGGAAACUGGGUCUAAUUCCCGAUAGGACUGCAGGGUGGUGCCUGUGGUGGAAAACGAUUUUCUAGUGGUUGGGGAUGAGCUCGCGGCCUAUCAGCUUGUUGGUGGGGUAAUGGCCUACCAAGGCGGCGACGGGUAGCCGGCCUGGGAGGGUGGACGGCCGCAUUGGGACUGAGAUACGGCCCAGACUCCUACGGGAGGCAGCAGUGGGGACUAUAGCACCAUGGGCGUAAGCCUGAUGCAGCGACGCCGCGUGGGGGAUGACGGCCUUCGGGUUGUAAACUCCUUGCGACCGCGAGGAAGCCACCUGGUUGGAAGGGUGGUGACGGUAGUGGUAGAAGAAGCACCGGCUAACUACGUG